rnacentral:rRNA from 1 species
UACAGAGGGUGCAAGCGUUAAUCGGAAUUACUGGGCGUAAAGCGUGCGUAGUCGGUUAUUUAAGUCGGAUGUGAAAUCCCCGGGCUUAACCUGGGAAUGGCAUUUGGGACUGCAAGGCUCGAGUGCGGCAGAGGAGACUGGAAUUCCUGGUGUAGCAGUGAAAUGCGUAGAUAUCAGGAGGAACACCGAUGGCGAAGGCAGGUCUCUGGGCUGACACUGACGCUCAUGCACGAAAGCGUGGGGGGCAAACAGG